UGUGUAGCUCAGUGAAAGAGCAUCCGACCAGUGUGCGGAAGGUCAUAGGUUCGACUCCUGUUGGGAGAA